AUUCCAGCUCCAAUAGCGUAUAUUAAAGUUGUUGCAGUUAAAAAGCUCGUAGUUGGAGUUCAGGGUGAGCUCAGCUGGUCGGCCUAAUGGGUCAGAACUGGUUGACUCUCCCUUGGUUGUGGAUCCCUCCGGAGUUAAUUCUUCGGGUGUGGAGUCCACAUCGUUUACCUUGAAAAAAUUAGAGUGUUCAAAGCAGGCGUUUGCUUGAAUAUAUUAGCAUGGAAUAAUGGAAUAGGACGCUGGUUCUAUUUUGUUGGUUUUGAGAACCAGAGUAAUGAUUAAUAGGGACAGUUGGGGGCAUUCAUAUUUCAUUGUCAGAGGUGAAAUUCUUGGAUUUAUGAAAGAUGAACUUCUGCGAAAGCAUUUGCCAAGGAUGUUUUCAUCA
rnacentral:rRNA from 1 species